GGGAGCCGUGGUAGAACCUGCACUGGCCCAUCAGAGCUCACAGCCUUUUUCCACGCCAAGUGAGGGUGGGUGGUUGGAGCCCAGAACAGGGGGCACCUGUCAUCCCUUCCAGAAUUUGCCUUUUUCCAUUGCCUCCCUGUAGAACUUCUCUCCUCCCUUGAAGACUUUGCUUCUCCUAGAACCUCUCUCAGACUCAUCAGUCUCCUUCCCAAGUUCCGUGCAACCUGGAAAUGUCAGUGUUCCCCAGAGGUCUGCCCUUAAACCUGCAGGCUGGUGGGGUGUCCUCACGGGUUCCUACCCACUGGGAAAGCCUUUCCCUGGAAGAUGCUGGGUCUUCAUCUGCUCCCACGUCUGGAGCCUACAUUAUUCUCCUCCCUGCCAGUCUGCUGAUCCCUGCUGACAGUUAAUGAGAAAUGGAGCAACUUGGCCCAGAGAAAACUGGAAAACUGGCCUGGAGUCAGGAGGCCUGAGGUUCCAGUUGUGCCUUUAUACCAGAGUCUCACGACGGUGCAUUUGACUUCUUUUCUUUUUUUUUUUUUCGGUUGUGCCAUGCCCAGCCUGUGGUUUCCCAGAUCCUAGUGCCAUGCCCAGCCUGUGGGAUCCCAGAUCCUAGUUCCCCUACCAGGGAUAGAACCUGAGCCCCCUGCAUUGGAAGCUUGGAAUCCCAACCACUGGACCACCCUGGAAGUCCCUUAGCUUACAUUUAAACACACGAAGAAGGAGAAAGGAAUGACUGCAAUGGGCAGGAAUCACGGCAUGCAGUCACCCCCUCCCACCAUGUGAGCACUCAUGCCUCGAUGGGGACGUGGCGUGGUGUGACCUGCCCUGGUCCCCCAGUUGGUCCCAGUUGCCCCACAUCCAGCAAAGUGUGGGCUCUCACCAUGCCCAGGGUGAUCC
ensembl:lncRNA